rnacentral:rRNA from 1 species
ACCCGCUGACGAGCGGCGGACGGGUGAGUAAUGCAUAGGAAUCUGCCCGGUAGUGGGGGAUAACCUGGGGAAACCCAGGCUAAUACCGCAUACGUCCUACGGGAGAAAGGGGGCUCCGGCUCCCGCUAUUGGAUGAGCCUAUGUCGGAUUAGCUAGUUGGUGAGGUAAUGGCUCACCAAGGCAACGAUCCGUAGCUGGUCUGAGAGGAUGAUCAGCCACAUCGGGACUGAGACACGGCCCGAACUCCUACGGGAGGCAGCAGUGGGGAAUAUUGGACAAUGGGGGCAACCCUGAUCCAGCCAUGCCGCGUGUGUGAAGAAGGCCCUCGGGUUGUAAAGCACUUUCAGCGAGGAAGAACGCCUGUCGGUUAAUACCCGGUAGGAAAGACAUCACUCGCAGAAGAAGCACCGGCUAACUCCGUGCCAGCAGCCGCGGUAAUACGGAGGGUGCAAGCGUUAAUCGGAAUUACUGGGCGUAAAGCGCGCGUAGGUGGCUUGAUAAGCCGGUUGUGAAAGCCCCGGGCUCAACCUGGGAACGGCAUCCGGAACUGUCAGGCUAGAGUGCAGGAGAGGAAGGUAGAAUUCCCGGUGUAGCGGUGAAAUGCGUAGAGAUCGGGAGGAAUACCAGUGGCGAAGGCGGCCUUCUGGACUGACACUGACACUGAGGUGCGAAAGCGUGGGUAGCAAACAGGAUUAGAUACCCUGGUAGUCCACGCCGUAAACGAUGUCGACCAGCCGUUGGGUGCCUAGAGCACUUUGUGGCGAAGUUAACGCGAUAAGUCGACCGCCUGGGGAGUACGGCCGCAAGGUUAAAACUCAAAUGAAUUGACGGGGGCCCGCACAAGCGGUGGAGCAUGUGGUUUAAUUCGAUGCAACGCGAAGAACCUUACCUACCCUUGACAUCUACAGAAGCCGGAAGAGAUUCUGGUGUGCCUUCGGGAACUGUAAGACAGGUGCUGCAUGGCUGUCGUCAGCUCGUGUUGUGAAAUGGUUGGGUUAAGUCCCGUAACGAGCGCAACCCUUGUCCUUAUUUGCCAGCGAGUAAUGUCGGGAACUCUAAGGAGACUGCCGGUGACAAACCGGAAGGAAGGUUGGGGACGACG